UGUGUGUGUGGGGGGGUGGCGUCCACACCACCCGGCAGCAGUGUGGGACGGUCCGGGGGUUAUUCUGCAGAGCACAGUCCAAUGGCUGGUGUGCAGGUCCCCGGGGUCCCAAUGCCUUCUCCCAGGAUCUGCGGUCGGUCCUACACCCCUUUUCCUGUAUUUCUUCUCUACGGUCUCAUCCUCCCAGAGUGAAGCCCAGGCACGAUGCUCAGAGGCCCUUGGGUGUAGGAGGAAGCACAGACUCUUGACCUCGGAAGGCCUGUUCCUGCUAGGUUCCCUGGCCUCCUGUCCAAGAUGUCCCCGGCUCACCAUCCCGUGGCCCCACCUUGUUUGAUUUUGAUGGUACGUGUCACCCCUGAAAUGACGGUGCUUCUGGUGUUUACAGUUGAGUGUUGUCUCCUCGCAACUGAGAGGGGAUAACUGGACACAGACACGCAGAGAAGGCCGUGUGAAAUGGACGCAGGGUUUGGAGCAAUGCAUCCCUGAGUCGAGGAACACUACAGCUUGCUGGAGCCACCAGAAGCUGGAAGAGGUAGGAAGGAUCCCCUCCUAGAGCUUUCAGACAGAGCACGGAACUGCCGACUCAAAGUCCUGCUGAUUCUGGA